rnacentral:rRNA from 1 species
CCCUUAGACGUUCUGGCCGCACACGCGCUACACUGACCAGUGCAACAAGCAUCCGUCCUUGGCCGACAGGCUCGGGCAAUCUUUGAACGCUGGUCGUGAUGGGGAUAGACUUUUGCAAUUUUUGGUCUUCAACGAGGAAUUCCUAGUAAACGCAAGUCAUCAACUUGCAUUGAUUACGUCCCUGCCCUUUGUACACACCGCCCGUCGCACCUACCGAUUGAAUGGUCCGGUGAAGCCUCCGGAUUGGCGCGCACCUCGGUGCCGCCGAGAAGUUGGCUAAACCUUACCAUUUAGAGGAAGGUGAAGUCGUAACA